CAGUCCCUGUAAGAGCCACGCAGGCCAUCGCGCUCCCAUAUCCACUCGGCUGCAGUGCCUCGACUUUGUUACGCCGCAUUCAGUCGACAGUGCCUCUAGAGCUGCCACGCUAGUGUCUCAAACUACUAUCAAUAGUGAUUAUUAAAGCGAUCUUUAAUACCAUUGAAGGUCUGAAUCCAAUCGAGCUGUAUUAAUUCAGAAUUGUUCUCCAGUCGUCGUAAGCUGUGUUAUUUCCAGCUUUUAAAAAUGGCUUUUUCAUUCUUCAGCUUCCUGGACCCCACUGAGAAGUAUUGAAACCCUACUUCUAUGCUCCCACAAUAAUUCUUAUUUAUUAUCUAACAUUCUCCAGCUGCCAACGCCGCAAGAUUGCCGUCGAUUUCGGCUUCAUUAACAAAAACGAUGGUUUACUUCAUCAUGCAAUACCUGGACCCAACGGAGAAAUAUUGAAUUCCUUGGUGUCGUGAUAAUUGACACCACGAAUUCAAUAAGUCAUUGGUCCCCGAUUGCCGGUGCGACUGCGACAUUAGACGAUGAGCUUCUUGGUAAAUUUUGGUGUUUCCAUCCAACUUGAUGUCAACUUCCAGCAAUGGGACCCAACCCGAAGAAGACCGUGAAACAUUACCAUAGUGCCUUUUUUCCAAACCAUGUCACCACCAAGAAGAAGAUGAAGUCAAAGAAGCAGGAAGUGUUGGCGGGGUCGGCCACUAGACUAAAGGCUGUCGUGCCUUGCGCCGGACGUUGAACUCUGUCUGCAGCAGCACUCCUCUUUCCUUGGUGCUCGCUGACAGACACGUGAUGGCAUCCGAAGCGCCGGGAUGAGGAGCGUCUGAUGGUUGACUCAGAUAUCUUCUUGGCCACUCGAAGAUUCUGUAGCCACCUCAGACAUCUUUGUGGCCACCUCUGACAUCUCUUUCGGCUACUGCGAACGUUUGUCUAGCCACCUCUGCCAUCCUCUGGGCUACUUCGAACGUUUGUUUGGCCACCUCUGCCAUCUUUGUGGCUACUGCGAACGUUUGUGUGGCCGCCUCUGACACCUUUGUGGCUAAAUCAAACGUUUGUGUGACCAUCUCUGCCAUCUCUGGAUUUACCGCGAAGGUUUGUGUGGCCACUUCUGAAAUUUUGUGGCUACUUCGAACGUUUGUGUGGCCACCUCUGCCAUCUCUGGAACUAUUUCGAAAGUCGUGUGGCUGAAAGUUUCUCGGUCGAACCCUACUUAGAAAUAUGCCACAAUAAAACGCGAGGACUUUCAAUGUUGAAUUAUCUUUAUUAUUUUCACUCAUAUAUAUGAACAUCAAGCCUACUUACAUCGAUGUAGGUUAUUUCAUAUCUAGGCGAAUAUUAAACUUGAAUAUCGUCUGAAAAUUUGAUUCGAAAAUAUGUUUGGAUAAAUGAUUUUAAAUCAAUUUGUUAUUAAAUUCGAGUAAGUAUGCGUGGUCGCAAAUCUAAAGUAUAUGUUGGGUCUUUAUAUAGUUGCAUUGGUUUUCUGGGUAUAUUAGUGAAGGUUAUGUCUUCAAUAGGCCAAGUUUACUAACAUGCUUGUUAUUUCUCCUGGACAAAAAGGGUUUAUCUUACUAAGUUCUUGGUAAAAGUUGUACCUUACUAUGUUCUUUGUAAUUAAGAAUGAUUACAUUAGUAUUGGUUAAUAGCUUCACACGCGUCAAAUUUCGAGAGCUCGACAUCCGGGUUUCCACUCGUCCAUUUAUGGUACAAAUACCGAGUCAUUUACAAAGCUGUCGCAGCAGAUGUUUGAUUGCUUAAGUACGAAGUUAUCAUAAGCUUGGUUUGAAUCACAACCAAUUAAUAUAGUUAAAGAAUUUUCGAGAUAAAAUUAAUAAUGCCAUGUCAACUGACACAAACAAGUUUGAUCGGAUAAACGAAAAUAUGUUAUUUACCGCCCAGCUGUUGGACGCUCGGUACAAGAGGACAGUAAUGUUCAUCAAGAUCAAUUUAAUGUCUCUUUGAGUGCUAUUUAGUACAAGUCACAAUUAUACAUUUAGUCUUCUACCAUAACUCUUGUCGAUUCUCGUGCCUGUACGCUUUACUUGUUAAUGUUGUUUAUCAUGUUUUGUUGAUUUGUGAAAGAAUUUGAUCUUUGUUUAUCGGCAUUACUAGUGA